rnacentral:rRNA from 1 species
AACGCGAAGAACCUUACCUGGGCUCGAACGGCUGGUUAACGCCGGUGGAAACAUCGGUACUCCGCAAGGAGGUCCAGUCGAGGUGCUGCAUGGCUGUCGUCAGCUCGUGUCGUGAGAUGUUGGGUUAAGUCCCGCAACGAGCGCAACCCUUAUCUCCAGUUGCCAUCAUUCAGUUGGGCACUCUGGCGAAACCGCCUCGGAUAACGGGGAGGAAGGUGGGGAUGACGUCAAGUCCUCAUGGCCUUUAUGUCCAGGGCUACACACGUGCUACAAUGGCCGGUAUAAACCGCUGCAAACCCGCGAGGGGGAGCUAAUCGGAAAAAGCCGGCCUCAGUUCGGAUUGCAGUCUGCAACUCGACUGCAUGAAGCUGGAAUCGCUAGUAAUCGCAGAUCAGAAUGCUGCGGUGAAUACGUUCCCGGGCCUUGUACACACCGAGACGAC